CCCGAAAGAUCGAUCGGGGAGAUUCAUCGUCAGCGGCUUCGGCUUGGCCCGCGGUUCGCGAUGCCCGGACCCCGGUCCGUGGCACGCUGCCGCGCCACGCUCGUUGUCGCCGGCGUGCACUUCUCCCCUAGUAGGACGUCGCGACCCGUUGGGCGUCGGUCUACGGCCUGGAUGGUCGCCUGUCCUCGGCGUUCACGCGCCGGGGGCAGACCUCCGGUUGCCCGGCCGGCUGCCCGGCGGUACACGCACGGUAUCGAGCCGCAUUGAAUUGCGUCCAGCCCGCCGCAAGCGCGGUCAGGAAUUCCCGGUGGUCGGACCUAGCGCCGUCCCCGGGCCUGGCCAGCUGUUGGCCGGCGGUGUCCUCGGACGGGCUCUCGUUUACCGGUCGGCGACGCUAUUGCUUUGGGUACUUUCA
rnacentral:rRNA from 1 species